rnacentral:rRNA from 1 species
GACGAACGCUGGCGGCGUGCUUAACACAUGCAAGUCGAACGGAAAGGCCCUGCUUUUGUGGGGUGCUCGCGUGGCGAACGGGUGAGUAACACGUGAGUAACCUGCCCUUGACUUUGUGAUAACUUCAGGAAACUGGGGCUACUACCGGAUAGGAGCUCCUGCUGCAUGGUGGGGGUUGGAAAGUUUCGGCGGUUGGGGAUGGACUCGCGGCUUAUCAGCUUGUUGGUGGGGUAGUGGCUUACCACGGCUUUGACGGGUAGCCGGCCUGAGAGGGUGACCGGCCACACUGGGACUGAGAUACGGCCCAGACUCCUACGGGAGGCAGCAGUGGGGAAUAUUGCACAAUGGGCGGAAGCCUGAUGCAGCAACGCCGCGUGCGGGAUGACGGCCUUCGGGUUGUAAACCGCUUUCGCCUGUGACGAAGCGUGAGUGACGGUAAUGGGUAAAGAAGCACCGGCUAACUACGUG